rnacentral:tRNA from 1 species
GUCCCCAUCGUCUAGUCGGCCAAGGACGCGGGCCUUUCAAGCCUGCAACACGGGUUCGAAUCCCGUUGGGGACGCCA